rnacentral:rRNA from 1 species
GAUGAACGCUGGCGGCGUGCCUAAUACAUGCAAGUCGAGCGAACAGAUAAGGAGCUUGCUCCUUUGACGUUAGCGGCGGACGGGUGAGUAACACGUGGGUAACCUACCUAUAAGACUGGGAUAACUUCGGGAAACCGGAGCUAAUACCGGAUAACAUUUGGAACCGCAUGGUUCUAAAGUGAAAGAUGGUUUUGCUAUCACUUAUAGAUGGACCCGCGCCGUAUUAGCUAGUUGGUAAGGUAACGGCUUACCAAGGCAACGAUACGUAGCCGACCUGAGAGGGUUGAUCGCCAACCCUGAACCGGGGCACGGUCCCGGCUCCUACGGGAGGCAGCAGUAGGGAAUCUUCCGGAAUGGGCGAAAGCCUGACGGAGCAACGCCGCGGGAGUGAUGAAGGGGUUCGGCUCGUAAAACUCUGUUAUUAGGGAAGAACAAACGUGUAAGUAACUGUGCACGUCUUGACGGUACCUAAUCAGAAAGCCACGGCUAACUACGUG